UUGUGGAUGAUGAGAAGAAAAAAGAAG
rnacentral:sRNA from 1 species